rnacentral:lncRNA from 1 species
GUCUGUCUCCCAGGCUGGAGUGCAGUGGCACGAUCUCGACUCACUGCAACCUCCACCUCCUGGAUUCAAGUGAUUCUCCUGCCUCAGCCCCCUGCGUAGCUGGGAUUACAGGUGCCCACCACCAUGCCUGGCUAAUUUUUGUAUUUUUAGUAGAAACGGGGUUUCACCAUAUUGACCAGGCUGGUCUCCAACCCCUGACCUCAAGUGAUCCAACGACCUCGGCCUCCCAAAAUGUUGGGAUGACAGGCAUGAGCCACAGUGCCCAGCCAGUUUUCCAAUUGGAAACGGCCACCUGAAACUUUUUUUAAUGACUGUGAAAUAUGACUUGUCAUUAAAUGAUCAGAUUUUAAAAGACCUAGAAAACUCAAAAGAGGCACUCUCCCUCUUCCUUCUAUGACAAGGACCCUGAUUCGACACGGCUGCCCAUGUUCCCAGCUCCAGGAGAUAAACGAAGUCAAACCUAAGCCACUCAUGACAAAUUUGUCUCCUGUGUAAUUGGUCUAGGCACAAGCACAUGACCCAUUUAUAGACAAUGAGACAGGUGGGACGUCUUAAAGCACUGGAAAUAUUUUUCUCCUUGACACAUAGAAAGUAGUCACACUUGGUAAAGACCUUCAACUGCGCUCACAUUCUGUCCUGCUUUCUGGGGACCACAUGAUGGUGCCUGAAUCAGAGGCAGCCACCUAGGGACCAUGAACGACUAAGCCUUAAAUAAGCUAAAGAAGGCAGGAGAGGAUGGAAAAAGACCUCCAGGAAUUUCCAAGUCAACCCUGGGAGUGUCCACCAUGGUAGGCUAAACAAUGGCCUAUCAAAGAUGCCCAUGUUCUAAUUCCCAGGACUGCUAGGUCACUCCCUACAUAUAAUUGAACCUCUGUGGAAUUGAAGGAUCCAUGGAAGAAAGAUGAAAACCGUUUGUUUAUGUAAAAGACAGAGCAAGUAUACUAAAAUCACAGAGCGGUCACUUAAUAGUAGGUUUUGAAAACUUAAUUUGCAUGGGAAAAUACUAUACACAGUUUUAAAAUCAAAUUGAUACUGUCUUGGUGCCAUUUUAAAAAAUCAGAACAAAAUUCUAAAUUUGCAGAUCUGGUAGCUCUGUAAGUAUGGUUUUAUGGUAGAGUAUGGUUUUUUUUAUUCCAUAUUUUAAAAACAAUAGAUAAAUAAGCUUUCUGCAGUCUAUAUGCUGAAUUACAUUAAUAGGCACGUAUAUGUUGUUUACAUUAUAAUUACAUUUCCCAUAUAUUAUGUCAUUGAAUCUUUACAAAAACCUGUGUUAAGUAUUAUAUUUCCCAGUUAAUUCUAAUGCCUAAAUGCUUAUUAUCUAGAAAAGUUUAGAAAACUUUUUCCGUAAAGAACCAGAGAGUAAAUAUGUUAUGGUCUCUAUUACGAAUACUCAACUCUGCUCUUGUAACAACAAAGCAACCUAUAAAAUAUGUAAAUGAAUGACUGUGGCUCUGUUCUAAUAAAAACUCUAUUUGUAAAAAUAAGCAGCUCCCCUAGGCCAUAGUUUGCCCAACUCUGACCGAGAUAAUUUAUUCCACACUGAUUUGUGUAUGGUGAUCUUGUAUGUAUGGUGAUCUUGUAUUCUGCCACCUUGCUGAACUCACUUAUUAGUUUUCAUCUUUUUUUUUUGUACAUUUCUUGGGAUUUUCUACAUAGACAAUUAAACACACACUCCUAAGUGAAAUAAACCAAACUCAAAAGGUCAAAUACUGUGUGACUUCACUGCAAAAGGCAAAACUAUCAGAACAGGAAAUAGAUUCGUGGUUGUCAGGAGGUGGAGUAGAGUGUGGGUUAGAUUACUACGGGGGAUGAGGGAG